GGUCAAGAAACAAAUAACCGAUGUCCCCAGAAAUGAAUGAAGUCGUGUUGGAGUAACAGAACUCUAGCUUCUGUGUGUACAUAUUUCCUGCAGCUGUUUCAUAGUUUCACAGAGUGUGCAUAUUACUGUUGUUAAUUAUAACGGGGAAAGUCGCAUGAUGCCGGGAGAACAGACUGUGAAGGCCACCGUAGAGCCUGCUGCUGACAGUGGUGAGCUCCAUCUGAAGAAGACCGUAUUCCUGGCCUACACUGAUGUGACAGCUGCUGCCAGUCGUGCCCUGCUUGGAAUCAAUAUGCGUAAAGAGUACUACAGUCUAGAAGUCCCGGAGAUCGCCAAUUAUAAACCAGCAUGCGUGCGAGACGCGGCCCCGGAACCCACUGAACAAAACUUCCAGUCGAUCCAAGUUCUCAACUGUAAAUAUGAACAGGAUGCUGAGGAGUUCUCUGUGGUAGUUGUCAACACUCACCUGCCCGGUGACAAGUGUCACUAUGUUGCCAGGAAAAUAAUGAACCUCUGCAUAGAAGGUAAAGUUGAGAAGAUGAUACUUCUGACCAGCCUCCAUGUUGACAUAGAACACAACCCAGACCACGCCAUGCUGGAGAAUACAUUCAACACAUCACCAGUGACGUCUCAUCCCCCCAUUCCUGGCCACACGAAGAUCUGCGAUCCAUUCCUCAGUACCAUGAUACAGAUGAUACAGAUAGAGGGGAUGGCAUGCAACUGUCUCAUCACUCCUGGCUACAGGGUCACGUCAGGAAAAGCCAACACCGAGGACGGAACUCACCAGAUGAUCUGUCUGUUCCAACACACACUGGAGGAGCUCACGAACCUCCGCUUUGACAGACAGCUGAGUCUUGAUAUGCUGUAUCGAGAUUCCCCCGACAACGAAGACGACAUGGUUUCCCUGAUGUAUGUCUGAAUGACAUUACCUUGAGCUUUUCAUGUCAUGGGAUCUAUUCAGAUGAUGAUGAUGAUGAUGAUGAUGACAUUUGUGUGGUCAACAACUGAUGACAUGUGGAUCCUGUGUUUCCAAGUACAGCACAUCAUCACUACAGCGUUCCACAAAGCGAUCGUAGCUCUAAGGCAAUCGCAACUCCCAUACUUUACAUAGACUUACGACCAUCGUAGUGCUACGAUCGCUUUGUGGAACGGGGUCUUGUUUGUAUGUUCCUCCAUCACCCGUGACAACAUACAACCACUUCGCAGUGUAGUAGCGACACGUGUGUGUAUUUAGUCAGCUAAUAAAAUGAGUCCACACUGU